rfam:Lingula anatina scaffold605, whole genome shotgun sequence.
GUGUUGUAUGAAAGGAGAGAAGGUUAGCACUCCCCUAGAUAAGGACGGAAGAGGCCCUCGUGGCCUAUAACAACACAUAAGGCUUUGUCUCUUACUUUGAGACAACCCUAUUUUU